UCUCCGCGAGUGUGGUGGACGCACGGCGGUCUUCGAAGCCGCCAGGCCGGGUUCAACUCCCGGGCGGAGGA
rnacentral:tRNA from 1 species